UACGGGGGGGGCAAGCGUUGUUCGGAAUUACUGGGCGUAAAGGGCUCGUAGGCGGCCAACUAAGUCGGAUGUGAAAUCCCCAGGCUUAACCUGGGAACUGCAUCCGAUACUGGAUGGCUUGAAUCCGGGAGAGGGAUGCAGAAUUCCAGGUGUAGCGGUGAAAUGCGUAGAUAUCUGGAGGAAUACCGGUGGCGAAGGCGAGUCUCUGGACAAUUCCUGACGCUGAGGCACGAAAGCUAGGGGAGCAAACAGG
rnacentral:rRNA from 1 species